rnacentral:tRNA from 1 species
ACCUUUUUAGUAUAAACAGUACACUUGACUUCCAAUCAAUUAGUCUUGAUAAUAUUCAAGAAAAGGUA